rnacentral:rRNA from 1 species
CCUACGGGUGGCAGCAGUGAGGAAUAUUGGUCAAUGGACGCAAGUCUGAACCAGCCAUGCCGCGUGCAGGAAGACGGCUCUAUGAGUUGUAAACUGCUUUUGUACGAGGGUAAACGCAGAUACGCGUAUCUGUCUGCAAGUAUCGUACGAAUAAGGGUCGGCUAACUCCGUGCCAGCAGCCGCGGUAAUACGGAGGAUUCAAGCGUUAUCCGGAUUUAUUGGGUUUAAAGGGUGCGUAGGCGGUCGGAUAAGUUAGAGGUGAAAUCCCGAGGCUCAACUUCGGAAUUGCCUCUGAUACUGGUCGGCUAGAGAGUAGUUGCGGUAGGCGGAAUGUAUGGUGUAGCGGUGAAAUGCUUAGAGAUCAUACAGAACACCGAUUGCGAAGGCAGCUUACCAGGCUACUUCUGACGUUGAGGCACGAAAGCGUGGGGAGCAAACAGGAUUAGAUACCCGGGUAGUC